AUUGAACGCUGGCGGCAGGCCUAACACAUGCAAGUCGAGCGAGCGGCGAACGGGUGAGUAAUGUAUGGGGACUGCCCGAUAGAGGGGGAUAACUACUGGAAACGGUGGCUAAUAACGCAUAAUGUCGGAUAACACAUAUGGGAUUAGCUAAUAGGUAAGGUAAUGGCUUACAUAGGCGACGAUCCCUAGCUGGUCUGAGAGGAUGAGCAGCCACACGGGGACGGAGACACGGCCCAGACUCCUACGGAUGCAGCAGUGGGGAAUCUUCCGCAAUGGACGAAAGUCUGACGGAGCAACGCCGCGUGAGUGAGGACGGUCUUCGGGUUGUAAAGCUCUGUUGAUCGGGAGACGGUACCGGAAUAGAAAGCCACGGCUAACUACGUGCCAGCCGCCGCGGUAAUAC
rnacentral:rRNA from 1 species